rnacentral:rRNA from 1 species
UACGUAGGGUGCGAGCGUUAAUCGGAAUUACUGGGCGUAAAGUGUGCGCAGGCGGCCGAGCAAGUCGAGUGUGAAAGCCCCGAGCUUGACUUGGGAACUGCGCUCGAAACUACUUGGCUAGAGUGUGGCAGAGGGAGGUGGAAUUCCACGUGUAGCGGUGAAAUGCGUAGAGAUGUGGAGGAACACCGAUGGCGAAGGCAGCCUCCUGGGCCAACACUGACGCUCAUGCACGAAAGCGUGGGGAGCAAACAGG